rnacentral:rRNA from 1 species
AUGUCUUCCUCUAGCCAAAUCACCUCCUCUGGCCUAAACAAUACAAUCUCAGAACCUCUUACUCGCACAAACUAUGUCUUGUGGCGAGCCCAAGACCGAUCCCAGAUCAUAGGGGCAGGUCUCUUCAGAUACCUUGAUCAAACAAUCCCAGAACCACCAGCCACCAUUACCUCCAAAAACGCAGAAGGAAAAGAUCAAACCACACCAAACCCAGCCUACUCCGCCUGGUUGAUUCAAGAUCAACAGCUUGUGGCAUAUCUGCUUCGCAACCUCUCCAAAGAAGUCCUAGUUCAGGUCGCUUCCCUAGAAAAAUCCCAUGCCAUAUGGUCCUCUCUCGCAAAUAUGUUUGCG